rnacentral:tRNA from 1 species
GUUAGCUUAGUUGGUAGUGCGUCUGCCUUGUAAGCGCUAGGCCGCGGGUUUGAUUCCCGCCCGGGGCG